rnacentral:rRNA from 1 species
GAUGAACGCUGGCGGCGUGCCUAAUACAUGCAAGUCGAGCGAACAGACGAGGAGCUUGCUCCUUUGACGUUAGCGGCGGACGGGUGAGUAACACGUGGGUAACCUACCUAUAAGACUGGGAUAAAUUCGGGAAACCGGAGCUAAUACCGGAUAAUAUUUCGAACCGCAUGGUUCGAUAGUGAAAGAUGGCUCUGCUAUCACUUAUAGAUGGACCUGCGCCGUAUUAGCUAGUUGGUAAGGUAACGGCUUACCAAGGCAACGAUACGUAGCCGACCUGAGAGGGUGAUCGGCCACACUGGAACUGAGACACGGUCCAGACUCCUACGGUAGGCAGCAGUAGGGAAUCUUCCGCAAUGGGCGAAAGCCUGACGGAGCAACGCCGCGUGAGUGAUGAAGGUCUUCGGAUCGUAAAACUCUGUUAUUAGGGAAGAACAAACGUGUAAGUAACUGUGCACGUCUUGACGGUACCUAAUCAGAAAGCCACGGCUAACUACGUG